rnacentral:lncRNA from 1 species
AUGAAUGAGAGCCGGGGAGGGGCCGCCUCGGAGAGGGCAGGUGAGCGGAGAAGACCCUUGUUCAAGGAGGGACCAGCAGAGGAUUCUGGGGAAAACUGGCUCCUGAGGGGAAGAGAGGAAGGGCCGGUGAAGAACCGCCUUGGCCAGGGCAGAUCGGUACAACACUGUAGUAACAAGUCCCAAGGGAAGUUCCUUCAUAACUACCAGAGCCACACACAGUUCGGUGAGAGGGAUUCAGACCAAGUAAUAUUGGGCAAAAUGAGCUUUUUUUGGUUUUUAUUUUUCAAAUCUGAUCAGCAUUUCUGUCUUUAACAGUCAGGGUAUAAAGGCAUAAGGAAAACCUAAUCGGGAUCAGUUGCGAUCGAAGAAGGACCAUUCGUAAAUUCAAAAGCCAGCUUAUAGCUUUGAAUAAGUCAGCGUAAGUAUUUUUUUCUGACUUGCAGGUGUUACUCUGAGUAAUACUUGACUGGAGGUUGUUUUUAAAUAUUUACACUUCUCCCAGUAUUUCCAUGAAUCCAGUUUAAAAGAGAUGUUGAAUAUUAUUCAUUUUUCGUAUGGCACAGCUUUAGGAAGACUCAGUUUAACCUCUGUCCUCCGAAGAGCCUGGGACUGAAAACACAAAUAAAAUCACCGAGUUAUAGCAAUACCUUUGCUCUUGUCAUAAAACAAGAUUGAGCCUGGAAAAUAUGCCAGGUCACCAAAGCUAGCAAUAUAGUACGUUGUAGAUCGUGUGAACUCUACGCUACCUCCGUUUCCAAAUAAAUCACACUCUGUGGCUGGGGUUAUGAUUGUGCUUCAGCUAGUACCCUUUUUCUUUAGAAAUCUGAGAAGAUGUGCAAUAAAUGGGAACUCUGGAUUGUCUGCCGUGGUUAUAAAUAAAAAGUCCCCCUUCUGCAAGACUUCUUAUUGCGAUGUGAAAUGUGAAUUAGUUCACCAAAUUGGGAUAGACUCUGGAUUAUCUAUAUUACAAUAGGAUAUUUUUUCCCUAACUGUAAUAUAUGCAUUCUCUAGCGCUUUCCUUUAUCUUCGAAUACAGUAAUACC